UACGGGGGGGGCAAGCGUUGUUCGGAAUUACUGGGCGUAAAGGGUUCGUAGGUGGCUUGUUAAGUCAGACGUGAAAUCCCUCGGCUCAACCGGGGAACUGCGUCUGAGACUGAUGAGCUCGAGUGCAGGAGAGGAACGCGGAAUUCCAGGUGUAGCGGUGAAAUGCGUAGAUAUCGUAAGGAAGACCAGUGGCGAAGGCGGGUCUCUGGACAGUUCCUGACGCUGAGGCACGAAGGUCAGGGGAGCAAACGGG
rnacentral:rRNA from 1 species